rnacentral:rRNA from 1 species
GACGAACGCUGGCGGCGUGCUUAACACAUGCAAGUCGAACGAAGUGGCGAACGGGUGAGUAACGCGUAAUCAACCUGCCCUUCAGAGGGGGACAACAGUUGGAAACGACUGCUAAUACCGCAUACUGAAGGAGGGGAUUUCGUCUGAUUAGCUAGUUGGAGGGGUACCGGCCCACCAAGGCGAUGAUCAGUAGCCGGUCUUAGAGGAGGACCAGCCACACUGGAACUGAGACACGGCCCAGACUCCGACGGGUGGCAGCAGUGGGGAAUCUUCCGCAAUGGACGAAAGUCUGACGGAGCAACGCCGCGUGAGUGAUGACGGCCUUCGGGUGGUAAAGCUCUGUUAAUCGGGACGCGGUACCGGAAUAGAAAGCCACGGCUAACUACGUGCCAGCAGCCGCGGUAAUUC